AUUGAACGCUGGCGGCAUGCUUUACGCAUGCAAGUCGAACGGCAGCGCGGGGCAACCUGGCGGCGAGUGGCGAACGGGUGGGUAAUAUAUCGGAACGUACCCAGAAGUGGGGGAUAACGUAGCGAAAGUUACGCUAAUACCGCAUACGAUCUACGGAUGAAAGUGGGGGACCUUCGGGCCUCAUGCUUUUGGAGCGGCCGAUAUCUGAUUAGCUAGUUGGUGAGGUAAAGGCUCACCAAGGCGACGAUCAGUAGCUGGUCUGAGAGGACGACCAGCCACACUGGGACUGAGACACGGCCCAGACUCCUACGGGAGGCAGCAGUGGGGAAUUUUGGACAAUGGGCGCAAGCCUGAUUCAGCAAUGCCGCGUGAGUGAAGAAGGCCUUCGGGUUGUAAAGCUCUUUUGUCAGGGAAGAAACGGCCGAGGAUAAUACCUUCGGCUAAUGACGGUACCUGAAGAAUAAGCACCGGCUAACUACGUGCCAGCCGCCGCAGUAA
rnacentral:rRNA from 1 species